rnacentral:rRNA from 1 species
UGACACGUAGUCGGUUUGUAAGUCAGACGUGAAAGCCUUCUGUUCAACGGAAGAAUUGCAUCUGAAGCUACAAACCUUGAGUGUAGGAGGGGAGAAUGGAACUUCUGGUGGAGCGGUGAAAUGCGUAGAUAUCAGAAGGAACGCCGGCGGCGCCGGCGAUUCUCUGGCCUAUUACUGACACUCAGGGUGCGCAAGCAAGGGGAGCAAACGGGAUUAGAUACCCGGGUAGUCCUAGCCGAAAACAAUGGUCACUAAGAGGAGGGGUUUU